GGAGAGGUGGCAGAGUGGUUUAAUGUACCUGACUCGAAAUCAGGCGUACGUUUAUAGCGUACCGGGGGUUCGAAUCCCUCCCUCUCCGCCA
rnacentral:tRNA from 1 species